rnacentral:lncRNA from 1 species
CGGCUGGCAGUCACUAAAAUUGAGUUAAGUGCUGCACAAACAUGCAGUGAAACAUAGGCCUGUGCCUGAAGAGCUGAAACACAGGAACAGGUUUGUCUGAGGUGUGCACUGGAAGGAGAAAAACAAAGGAUGGGUUCUUCACGACUGAUACUUUCCUCUUCCUAGUUUGACCCCAGCUGAAUUUGGAACAUCCUAAGAUCCACGAAAGUAGUAAACUUCCAUGACACCUUUGGAUUCCUGGAACAAUAUUGCACCUCUUUCAGCCCCUCAUAUACCUUAUAUUACUUGAAAGAUUUUGUCCAAACAUCUGCAUACAGUUAAGCUCCAAAGAAGAAAUUUCAAGGCACUGAGAAGGUUCUCCCACUUGGCUCAGCUUGACCCUCGACCUCUCUUCAGGGUGUGGAGAGGAAUGGCAUCUCCCCUGCUGGUCCAGCACGCCUCUCCCAAGCACCUGCGAGGAUGGGCUGAGUUACUCCCUCACACACCCCUUUUCUGUUAGUUGUGCUUGCAGGCUACACAGUGACACCUC